rnacentral:rRNA from 1 species
CCUACGGGAGGCAGCAGUGAGGAAUAUUGGUCAAUGGGCGGGAGCCUGAACCAGCCAAGUCGCGUGAGGGAUGACGGCCCUACGGGUUGUAAACCUCUUUUGUCGGGGAGUAAAGUGCCGCACGUGUGCGUUUUUGAGUGUACCCUGUGAAUAAGCAUCGGCUAACUCCGUGCCAGCAGCCGCGGUAAUACGGAGGAUCCGAGCGUUAUCCGGAUUUAUUUGGUUUAAAGGGUGCGUGGGGGGGCGUUUAAGUCAGUGGUAAAAUUUUGGGGAUCAACCUCGUCGAGCAGUUGAAACUGGGAGCCUGGAGUGGGCGAGAGGUAGGCGGAAUGCGUGGUGUAGCGGUGAAAUGCAUAGAUAUCACGAAGAACUCCGAUUGCGAAGGCAGCGUACCGGAGCGCAACUGACGCUGAUGCACGAAGGCGUGGGUAUCGAACAGGAUUAGAUACCCUUGUAGUC